rnacentral:rRNA from 1 species
GUGGGGAAUCUUCCGCAAUGGACGAAAGUCUGACGGAGCGACGCCGCGUGAGUGAUGAAGGCCUUCGGGUCGUAAAGCUCUGUCAUCGGGGACGAACGGCCUCAGCAGGUAAUGGCUGGGGAUUGACGGUACCCGAGAAGGAAGCCACGGCUAACUACGUGCCAGCAGCCGCGGUAAUACGUAGGUGGCAAGCGUUGUCCGGAAUUAUUGGGCGUAAAGCGCGUGCAGGUGGGAUCUUAAGUCCAUUUUGAAAGUUCGGAGCUCAACUCCGUGAUGGGAUGGAAACUGGGAUUCUUGAGUACCGGAGAGGAAAGCGGAAUUCCCCGUGUAGCGGUGAAAUGCGUAGAUAUGGGGAGGAACACCAGUGGCGAAGGCGGCUUUCUGGACGGUGUCUGACACUGAGGCGCGAAAGCCAGGGGAGCGAACGGGAUUAGAUACCCGGGUAGUCC